ACCAGCAUAGCUUAGUGGUCUGAGUGUUGGACUACAACUCUGGAGACCAAGGUUCGAUUCCCCUCUCAGCUA